UACGUAGGGUGCAAGCGUUGUCCGGAAUUAUUGGGCGUAAAGAGCUCGUAGGCGGCUCGGUAAGUCAGGUGUGAAACCUCCAGGCUCAACCUGGAGACGCCACCUGAUACUGCCGUGGCUAGAGUCCGGUAGAGGAGCGUAGAAUUCCUGGUGUAGCGGUGAAAUGCGCAGAUAUCAGGAGGAAUACCAGCGGCGAAGGCGGCGCUCUGGGCCGAUACUGACGCUGAGGAGCGAAAGCGUGGGGAGCGAACAGG
rnacentral:rRNA from 1 species